rnacentral:lncRNA from 10 species
AUCAACCCAUACCCUAGGUAUUAAAACCAGCAUGUAUUAGCUAUUAUUCCUAAUGCUCUCCUUCUUCCCACCCUUACAACAGGCCCUAGUGUGUGUUGUUCCCCUCUCUGUGUCCAUGUGUUCUCAUUGUUUAGCUACCACUUGUAAGUGACAACAUGUGGUGUUUGGUUGUCUGUUCUUGCAUAAGUUUGCUGAGGAUAAUGGCUUCCGGCUCCAUCCAUGUCAGUGCAAAGAACGUGAUCUCAUUCCUUUUUAUGGCUGCAUAGUAUUCCAUAGUAUAUAUGUACCACACUUUCUUUAUCCAGUCUAUCGUUGAUGGGCAUUUGGGUUGAUUCCAUGUCUUUGCUAUUGUGAAAGCACUAUGCUUUUUAAAAUAAAAUUUACACCAAGAUAGUGGCUCUGGGUAAAUAUGCAAAUAGUCACUCUGAUGAAAGUUGUGCUCUAUCUAAAAAAUUUGGUGGAAAUUUGUCUUCUAGUGUUUGGUAAAAACAGUCUAGAAGAAGUUCAUUUUGUUUUGUUUUUAAUGUAAACAUAUCCUAAGUGACUUUUCUUCCUUUCAAGGCCAGACAGAUGGAAGAAAGAACUCUGGAAGUGUGGGAUACGUUGUUUGAGAAAUAAAUACACAAAUAAGAACACAAAGGCCAUUCCUGUCAUUAAGGCUGAAGAUAUGCUGCUUCAGCCAAGGACAGAGGGUAUCAUUGGUAGGGGGAAUACCUAGAAGGCUACAAGAUAUAGGUUUUUCUUUAAAUUAUUGUGUUUUCUAUUUAUGUUAAAGGAUGUUAAAUUGGAAAUUUCAGGCAUGGGAAAAUAGACACAAAAAUCCAAAGUGAAGUGCUAAACCAGGAUUUUCACAUUUAUAAAUUUAGGCAUAGUUAUAUUCCUCCCCACAUGGAAGUAUGAAGGGUUUGAAGAGAUUUAUUUGGAGAGAAUUGUUGGCAUGCUGUGAUUCCCACAUACCUUUCCUCUUAACAGGGCAGGGUAAGGAGCCUUCAGAUAAAAGGGCUUUAAUGAGACCAGUCAAAGAGCUUUGUUUGGGCUCCUUGCAGUCGGGAGUAAUACUGUGUACUAGGAUCUACAUCAUGUCUGAGAAAUCUAAUGCAUAAGAGGAUGGCUGAAGAGAUCUGUGCAUCACAAGUGGGAUGGGGAAGUUGGAAAGAAACUGCACCCCCAAAGUCUGCUGGGAUAAAGAAUAACUGAGUGUUCUCCUACAGACUUUAUAUGGGCCAUAGAGAGAUGCAGACUGGGUUUAUUAGAUUGUCCAAAAGACCCAGGAUGAACCACUCAGAUUACAUUUUAAAACUGUUGCUUGAUGGUUGUAGGAAGCAUGUAAUUCUCUUUUUCAGGAGAUGAUGGAAAAAAACAUAGUCCUGGUUGCUAAUGGCAGUCAUCUUGGACCACAAAGUCAUCUAGCCCAGAGGUUUCUGGAGUGAGAUUCCACAGCAAAAUACAAACAUUAUUUUGGGAAAUGAGAUACUAGAAGUUUGGGAACAUAUUAACAGAAUUGGACCUGAGUCACUAAAAAUUCACGUAUUUUAACUUGUUUAAGCAGCUAUCCUCAGUCAAAAUAGCUUAAUGAAGCCGUAAGUGUAAAAUUUGUUGACCAUCUUUCUCUCAUCCACAUCAGUAUUCAAUAUUUGUCAUCUAUUUCUCAAAAUCAGUAAUUUUUCACAUCACUAUGUGCCUCUCCCCUGAAUUUAUUUCUACCAAGAGAAACAGAAUCAAAUAUUCAGGGUGAAGUGGUUACAACUCAGAGGGAUUUUAAACAGUAUGUGUCUACUUUAUUUACAAUAUUUACCUAUGUAUAACAUGUUGUCUGGGACAGAAUUGCUUAUCAAGGGGUAUCAAGACAACCCAACAGCUUUAAAAAUACAAAUGUCUAGGCCACACCCAAGAAAAGUGACUCUAAUAUACAUCUUUCAUCAAAAAAAAUGAUAAAGAAAUCGUCAUAUAUGCUUUUUGCAAUUUGUGGAAUGGAGACGGUUAAGACUCCCCCUCAAAUUUUUGCAAAAACAACCAACAACAAUUGUAAUGAUGAGUUUGGGUCUCCUGGCUUUGCUGGUGCAGUUCACAUUUAUGGGAGUGCCAUAUACGGGGUCACUUCCUUUCUGUUUCUCUAAAGCAAGACUAGAUUGAGAAAAAAAAAUAGAUUAUUCUUUUGUGUUCUGACAAAUUCCUAUGAGAUGUAGAGGAUUUUUCUUUCCCAUAGAAGUUUUAUUUAUUUUUUUGUUUACAAAAUCUAGCUGUCUCUGACAUAAGUGUCAGACACAAAACAUUAAAUAUCACUGUUUUCUUUCAUUAUUUAUCAGUCCCUGUUGAAAUUCUGAACAUCUCAAAUAUACAGGUAUGUGUCUGGUAAAAUGACAAGUUCCAAGCUAUAGUUAUGGAACACACCAGGGCAACAGCACCCUGUAGUCAAUGCUUUCCCAUUUCAACCAUCUGAGGAGUGAACAACAGAGACAGUGGGAGAGGGUGACAUACAGCGUAUGCUUGAAGGACAAAGCCACCACAUUUCCACUUCCUCUCCAAAUGCAUCAUUUCAGAAGCAAAUAUAUAUGGCUGGUAAUUGUUUACAAAAAUGGAAAGUUGAGGAGAAUAAAAAAUUGGCUAAAUAAACUCACCUCCUGUAGGCGGUCUAUGUACAUACGGCAAGUCUCCAAAUCACAGUCUCCACGCACAACUAGAAUACCCAGAGGUAUCGCUAAGGGUGAAGGAAGAAGAAAAAUCUAAAAUAACAUAUUUGAUUUUUCUAUAUCAGCAUAAAUGUGUUUCUCGUGGUUAAAAAACAAUCUCAUAAAUAUUAUGGGUUUUUUAGAUAUGUCCGUAAAAAGAAAGAAGUACUUUCUCCCUACACCUUUUUUAUUAUUUCAGUCUCUUCUUGUUUGCAGUUGUCACACACUUUCCUAGCAUGAUCCAUGUUGCCCCUUGCCACCUGCCCCUCAUCUCAUUGUGUUUCACUGGCCCUGAGAUGAAGUGAAUUGUCGCAGUAACGAUGGAUUGGCAGAACAGGGAGGCUGCUCAUGGACAGUUGAUAAUUAUGCUUGCAUUUUUUAUGCUUAUGCCUAAAUUUAUGCUUGCAUUUGCAAUAGACAACAUGAGGAUGCAGUGCCGGGGGAAUUAAACAUUGAGGAUUCUGGACACUUACUCCUUCCUUCCUGAAUGCAGACAACUUCAUCUUUUUGUCUGUCUACAACAGUUUCCUAUUUAUGAGACUUGAGCUACUCAAGGCACUGUUGCUACCUGGUGGCCAAUAUCAGAACUAAAGGCAUAAAAUGUUAGAAAGAAAAGAACAAAAAACAGCUUCUAGAAGAGGCAAAGCUUAAAAAAUCCAACUAAUUUUAAGGAUGGCCAAUGUAAGAGUGGUAACAGUAGGACCUCAGAAAACAAUAAGACAAGACUAAGUUAUGCACCUUAUAAAAUAUCCUACUUAGGUAGUGUCAAACACACACAGUGGCUUUAGUGUAUAGAACCUACUUCAGAUAGAAUCACAAGAGUCCUGAAAUACUGAAAAAUAGUCUUCUUUCCAAAACUUAAAAAAAAAUCUACAAAUUUCUCAUUUUAAAAGUACAAUUACACGAUUAAAUCCAUGAUCUAACAUAAAACCUUCAAAAUUUUGAAUUAACCAACUGGUAAGUAGCAAGCAAAUGAUAAGACAGUGGUGUUCUCUAAGAAUUUUUUACAAUCGUUCACUCAUUGAGUGUAUAUUUAAAGCCAUCAUCCAUAAAUCUGUCUGAAAAUACAAAGUACUAGGGCCUUAAAAAUUCAUAAUACACAGAAGAAGAUUUAAAAUGCAUAAAAAACCUUGAAGAAUCUCCACGUAGUAGAGAAGGCAUAUAUAUAAACAAAAAAAUGAUAAGUAUAACACAGGCCGUAUUAAAUGUAUUAACUUAGUCAUUUGAAAACUAUAGGAAAGAGGGGCUAAUUCUUGCCUGGGUGAAGGGGUAGAUUUUAGGCUCUCUGAAGAACAUGAAGCCUCACUUGACGUUUUAGCUAGAGGAGUAAAGGUGGUCUAGAGAAAAAGAAAUAGAGUUUGUAUCUCAAUGUUACCUCCUAGAUUGGUUUCUGCUAGGGAGACCUAAUCAAUCCCACCACCCCAUUCCCUUAUGUUUCUAAAGUCCUGCAUACAUAAAUCUUUAAGGCAUCCAUGAUUUUGUGGAACUAUGGAAGCCUGUGAGUGAGUGUGGAUUGUUUACCUUCACUUCCCCAAUGCCUAGUAAAGAAAUGGUAGAUAUUCAAUAAAUGAGUAUAAAAAGAGGGAGGAAGAUGGGCUUAACGACUGUUUGGAUGCAAAAGAGAAAGUCUGUCUUUCAGGUGCAAGUCACCUGUCCAGGGUAGACAAGAAACAAGGUAAGCAAAAGACAGUCAGUAGAGGAUAAGGAGCACUUGUAACUGUCAUAUCUUUGGGGGAGUAAUAAUCAUUCUAAAAGAAUAUUUCUCCUCCUUUUAAAAGAUAAACAGAAACAUCAAAAAGUUUUCAGCAUGGCAAUCAUGCAUCUUUGCAGGAAAUGGAAGGGAAAUUCAAUAAGGAGAUCUCCUAAAAAUAGUGAUUAGAGUAAUCAUCUUCAGCUAGACCUACUAUAAAGAUGGAAAUAAGUUGAUCCACCAAGAUAAGAGCAGAAUAGAAUUUCUAAUAUUUGAGGAAUGAUGAGGAAAAGUUGGAAUUUUGACAUAGAUAAUAAAUCUGGAAGUGGAAUAUAGCUAUAAUUAACAUAAGCAUCCACAUUGGAAUCUUGCUUAAUAUUUCCUUUUAAUAUUAAAUGUGCAAAAAUAGAAAAUAGAUUUUAAUCAAUGUUU